AUCAACACCUGUAUGACAUAAUAACUACAUGAUGUUUUGACACUUGAAACCUGAAUUACUACUGAAGAAGGAAUAUUCAUGCUGAUAGUUUAGUAAUCCCUUAUAAUAUUAUUAAGAGUUGAGUCCCAUUUCUUACGAGUUGCAUCUUCCAGGUACUGCCGCCCAUGGUUGUCACUUGGCUGUCCUGGAUCACUGUCAAGGGUCAAUGUGGCAGUCAAAUCAAGGUGCAAAAUGCCGUAUAUAAAGACCCAGCACCAUAGUGGACAUAAUAGGGUCAUGGCAGUCAUAUUGGAGUGCAGAAUGCUGUACAAGGACCCAGCAGCAUAGUGGACAUCAAUAGGAUCCGUAUGUUGCUGUGCUGUUACAAAAUACCUAGGGAAGGGACCGAGGAGCUUGAGGUUGCUCGGUGGACAUCAGGAGGGUACAUUUGGUGCUGCGCCAUGUUACAAAAUACUUGGCAAAGGGACCCAGGAGCUUGAGGUUGCACGGUGGACAUCAGGAGGAUCCGUAUGUUGCUGCGCUAUGUUACAAAACCACACAGCAAAGGGAUCGAGGAGCUUGAGGUUGCAUGGUGGACAGCAGGAGGGUACAUUUGGUGCUGUGCUGUUACAAAAUCCCCAGGGAAGGGACCGAGGAGCUUGUGGUUGCACGGUGGACAUCAGGAGGGCGUGGUGCAGUCAUCCGUGAAGUUAUGGGACUUUGAAGGAUAUGUGAUGCUUAGAGAAGAUGGAGUUAUGGCUGCAGUCUCAAGACGGGUUUGCAGAAUCAAAGAAGUAACAUAAGAUAAGAAUACUGUAAAAAAAUAUUAGUAAUAAAAAUUUAUAAAAAAACGUUAAAUAUUA